UAUACCGUGAAACUGCGAAUGGCUCAUUAAAUCAGUUAUCGUUUAUUUGAUAGUACCUUACUACUUGGAUAACCGUGGUAAUUCUAGAGCUAAUACAUGCUAAAAACCCCGACUUCGGGAGGGGUGUAUUUAUUAGAUAAAAAACCAAUGCCCUCCGGGGCUCUUUGGUGAUUCAUGAUAACUUAACGGAUCGCAUGGCCUUGCGCCGGCGACGGUUCAUUCAAAUUUCUGCCCUAUCAACUUUCGAUGGUAAGGUAUUGGCUUACCAUGGUUUCAACGGGUAACGGGGAAUUAGGGUUCGAUUCCGGAGAGGGAGCCUGAGAAACGGCUACCACAUCCAAGGAAGGCAGCAGGCGCGCAAAUUACCCAAUCCCGACUCGGGGAGGUAGUGACAAUAAAUACUGAUACAGGGCUCUUUUGGGUCUUGUAAUCGGAAUGAGUACAAUUUAAACCCCUUAACGAGGAACAAUUGGAGGGCAAGUCUGGUGCCAGCAGCCGCGGUAAUUCCAGCUCCAAUAGCGUAUAUUAAAGUUGUUGCAGUUAAAAAGCUCGUAGUUGAACCUUGGGCCUGGCUGGCCGGUCCGCCUCACCGCGUGUACUGGUCCGGCCGGGCCUUUCCUUCUGGAGAGCCGCAUGCCCUUCACUGGGUGUGUCGGGGAACCAGGACUUUUACUUUGAAAAAAUUAGAGUGUUCAAAGCAGGCCUUUGCUCGAAUACGUUAGCAUGGAAUAAUAGAAUAGGACGUGCGGUCCUAUUUUGUUGGUUUCUAGGACCGCCGUAAUGAUUAAUAGGGAUAGUCGGGGGCAUCAGUAUUCAAUUGUCAGAGGUGAAAUUCUUGGAUUUAUUGAAGACUAACUACUGCGAAAGCAUUUGCCAAGGAUGUUUUCAUUAAUCAGUGAACGAAAGUUAGGGGAUCGAAGACGAUCAGAUACCGUCGUAGUCUUAACCGUAAACUAUGCCGACUAGGGAUCGGGCGAUGUUUCUAUCUUGACUCGCUCGGCACCUUACGAGAAAUCAUAAG
rnacentral:rRNA from 1 species